ensembl:misc_RNA
AUUCUGGUUGCGAUGGCAUUGGAGAAGGGAGCUCAGGCCGGCCUGUAGGUGAGGAAUGCCUGAACACCCUGGGCCAGAUCUUUAUCUCGACUGUAAAGACAAUGUUUCCUGACCAGCUGGACGU